AGAGUUUGAUCCUGGCUCAGAACAAACGCUGGCGGCGUGCCUAACACAUGCAAGUCGUACGUGAAAAUCCGCUUCGGUGGAUGAGUAAAGUGGCGCACGGGUGAGUAACGCGUGGAUAAUCUGCCCUUUAGUCGGGAAUAACUCAUCGAAAGGUGGGCUAAUACCGGAUAAUGCUGUUGUUGCUUCGGUGAUACAGCCAAAGGGGGCCUCUAUUUAUAAGCUCUCGCUUAAGGAUGAGUCCGCGUACCAUUAGCUAGUUGGCAGGGUAACAGCCUACCAAGGCGACGAUGGGUAGCUGGUCUGAGAGGAUGGCCAGCCACACUGGAACUGAGACACGGUCCAGACUCCUACGGGAGGCAGCAGUGGGGAAUAUUGGACAAUGGGCGAAAGCCUGAUCCAGCGACGCCGCGUGAGCGAUGAAGGCCUUCGGGUCGUAAAGCUCUGUCAGGUGGAACGAAAUGCCGCCGGGAACAACACCCCGGUGUCUUGACGGUACCGCCAAAGGAAGCACCGGCUAACUCUGUGCCAGCAGCCGCGGUAAGACAGAGGGUGCAAGCGUUGUUCGGAAUUAUUGGGCGUAAAGCGCGUGUAGGCUGCCCUGUAUGUCAGGUGUGAAAUCCCCGGGCUCAACCCGGGACGUGCAUUUGAAACUGCAGGGCUGGAGUGCGAGAGAGGGAAGCGGAAUUCCCGGUGUAGAAGUGAAAUUCGUAGAUAUCGGGAGGAACACCAGUGGCGAAGGCGGCUUCCUGGAUCGCAACUGACGCUGAGACGCGAAAGCGUGGGUAGCAAACAGGAUUAGAUACCCUGGUAGUCC
rnacentral:rRNA from 1 species